rnacentral:rRNA from 1 species
UACGUAGGGUGCGAGCGUUGUCCGGAAUUAUUGGGCGUAAAGGGCUCGUAGGCGGUUUGUCGCGUCGGGAGUGAAAACCAUGGGCUUAACUCAUGGCUUGCUUCCGAUACGGGCAGACUAGAGGCAUGCAGGGGAGAACGGAAUUCCUGGUGUAGCGGUGAAAUGCGCAGAUAUCAGGAGGAACACCGGUGGCGAAGGCGGCAUCCUGGACCAACACUGACGCUGAGUGAGCGAAAGCCAGGGGAGCAAACAGG